UACAGAGGUCUCAAGCGUUGUUCGGAUUCAUUGGGCGUAAAGGGUGCGUAGGUGGCGUGGCAAGUCUGAUGUGAAAUCCCGGGGCUCAACCCCGGAACUGCAUUGGAUACUGCCAAGCUUGAGCACUGGAGAGGAGACUGGAAUUUACGGUGUAGCAGUGAAAUGCGUAGAUAUCGUAAGGAAGACCAGUGGCGAAGGCGAGUCUCUGGACAGUUGCUGACACUGAGGCACGAAGGCUAGGGGAGCAAACGGG
rnacentral:rRNA from 1 species